UGCCAGGCAGGCAGCAAUAAAGAUUCCGAUCUUCGUACCAGAGAUCUGAUGCCUCUUUCCCCCUCGUUCUCAGUCUUCAUUUUAAUACCUACCUUGAAGAUGGUUAAUUGUCUCAUACUGGCGGCUGAGAAGCGGAAGAGGAGAGAGGAUUCAUGAUUCCAACCAGGGUGCUGCCUCUCUGUGACCUUGGGCCCAUAGUUCUCACCCUUACUGAGCCUCAGUUUCUCCGUCUGCGAAAUGGAGCUGGAACAUGUUAGCCUGGACUUGCCUUUCAAGUCUGUGGUCAGUAGCUUCUCCCAGCUCCUUCUUCUAGUCUGCAGAAGAAUUCUCACUCCUUCUUCAGCUCUCCCUCUGCAGCAAGGGUGCAGAAUUGGAUGGUGCUGGCUUGCCACAGGUUGUGCUGGGGCUCCAGGGACAUAGAAUGGUUGGCUGCUUAGGGGCUUCCAUUACACAAGGGGCAGAGAAAGGACUUGGCUUCCUCCUUUCUGGACCUGAGGGGCUUCUACUUUAGACCCGGAGAUUUUCCCUCCUAUGGCAGGGCCAGAGAGAGGUGGCCAAGUGUCCAGGGAUGCCUCCGUUCCUCUGUUCUGAAUGCACUUGUCUCCUUUGGGAAGAUAGGGAGUGAACGUGAUGGGGAGUCACCACUGGGAAGCUCAUUGAGCUUUCAGCCCUGUCCCUUGAGUGUCUGCACUUGGCAUUGAGAUAGGGUGGCAUGGAGUAGAAGGCUGGCCCCAAAGGUGAAAGGGAGCCUCUACCCCAGCUCCUUUUACUCCUGUCUCUAUUCACCCUGACGCCAGAGGAGUGUGUGAGUGUUUAGGGGGGAGGCAAGAGAGCAAGAGAGGCAGGGCACUUCAUGGGAGCUGGAGAACUGGGCCCCUGUGCAGGUGGUGGUGGUGGUGUAGGGAGAACAGUCCUAAAACCAGAGUGGGGAAGGGGCCAUGGUUCUGUCGCUUCCCAGUGUCCCUGUCCAAGACCAAAACUGGAGAACUUCAGACUUUGUGGGGUUGUGGCCAAAGCCCCCCAAAGCCUGGGGGGGGGGCCGUACCUGGGGGCAGGACGGCUGCUCUCAGAGGCAAGUCCGAAGAGUGGGUGUCCGUAGAGACCUAGGCGAAUGGGCACGGCCAAAGCGGAAGGGCCGGGCCUCGUGUUUGCUUCCCCUGUAGCUGGGGUGACUUUCAGGUGACUUAUCUCCUCUGCGAUUGCGUCUAGGAUUCUUGUUCUCAGAUGCGCGGGCGCAGCCACUUGCAUUCUGUGAGCAGAAAGAGCCCCAAAGAUGCUUGCAAAGAAUAUUCAGAAGAAGAAGAAACUCCUGAAAGGCGAAGCCCGGGUCGAGUCCGCGAGGCUCCCUGAAAGAGGACCAGGAGCCCCUUGAGGGCAGGAGUUGAAUCCGAUGCAUCACACUGGUCCCAGCACACAGCACAAGGCCUGGCACAAAACACUUGGGGAGAUAGGAUCUGCAGCAGAGCGGAAAGGCCUUCCUGAAAAGCAGAGCUGGGAGAAGCCGAGAAAAAUCUGGGAAGGUGAUAAGGUACUGCCCUGAGAACUUGCCAUGCUGUGUGUGGGGGUGCGGGGCAGAGUGGGGCCAAGGGAGGUUGGGAUGCGUGUAGUUAACUGGCUGUCUUGGGCCCAGAGCAGUGUGGACAGCAGGAUUCCACUUUCUGAGCCAGGCCUGCUUGCCAGCCAGCCUCGACAGAAUUCUGAAACACCUCCUUUUUUGCUUUGCCCUGUACUGGGUCCUGGUGUCACCUUCUGAAGGGUUCAGCGUAGGAGUGCCUGGGCUCUAGAGCCAGACUGCCUGGAUUCAAAUCCAAUUUCUGCCAGUUACUUGUUGUGUGAUCUUGGGCAAGUCACUCAACCUCUCUGUGCUGCAGUUUCCUCAUCUGUAAAGUGGGGGAUGCUAUAUGUUAGUAAUGAUGGUGUAGUGAGGAUUAAGUAAAUUGAUCCACGUAGGGAGCUUAGAAGAGUGGCUAAGACAUAACAAGUACUGGGUAAGUGAUAGAUGUUGUUGUUAUUAUAUUAUUAUUAUUCUAGGAAGGUAAUACAAUUUCUUAAGUCCUUCCCUUGCUGAAGCUCUUUCGAUAUUGUGCCAUUGCCCUCAGGGUCAAGAGCAUUCUCCAUGCUGUCCUACAUCUGGUCCUUCCUCAUGCUCCAGCUUUGUCAUUCCUGAUCCACUACGCUUUGGUAGCCCAAAUGACCUGUGUUUUCCUGAAUGUACCAUACUCUUGCCUCUGGGCCUUUGCAUAUUUGGUUUUCUUGGUUUGAAAUUCCCCCUUACCAAGGGUGUACCCCACCCCCGACCAUGUGUGUGGCUGUUGCCAAAGAAGCUUUAUUUCUGAUGCUCAUCAGGUUUGAUGUCCACACCUGGGUCCUCCUGGCCUCCUGCGUCCCACUAUCCCAGCCCUUACCACCUGUUGUGAUGGUUCAGGAUUUGUUGUCCCCCGGGCUGUGUUGCCUCUCUGUGCCCGGUGUGCAGAGCAAGUCCUGACCCGGAGGAGGUUUAACAAAGACUAUUUGCUGAAUGAAUCUAGACGGGGGCACAGACAAGUACACCAAGCUGUCUGUCCUGAGGUCCUGUGAGCUUCUACAGAAGAGACAGUGCAAUCUGAGAACAUGGAAGUUUGAUAGGCAGUGAAGGGUGGUGGUUGCAAGAAUGGGCUCUUGAGGCCAAGAGACGGGUUGGAAUCUUGGCCCAACCACCUGUGAGGUGUGUGACCAAGGGCAAAUUGUGUAGCCUGCCAAAACUUCAAUUUCUUCCUUGGUAAAUAGCAAUAAUAAUAGACACUUGAGCAUGAAAUGAAAUAAUGCUAUAAAGCUUUGUCCUAUGUCUGGCACACAGUAAAGGCCAUUAGGUGGUGGCCAUGGAGGCAGAAGCCAGAUGCGGCAAACUGCGUCCUGAGGUAGUAAACCGUCUCUGGGCACUGCCUCUCACACUGUCAUCGAGGAGAGGCUACCUGGAAAUUUAUAGUGGAGACAGGACCUGCUGGGUGAGCCGACAACUAGCUGUCUGCCCUGUAGGAACAAGCCAACCAUUUCCAGAGAUGUCUUCUGGCAUUUGGGUUCUGAGGUUUGGUCCCGUGGCUUCUAGAAUUUUGCUUUAUUCUGUCUAGGAUUCUACCGUAUGGUUAAAGUCACCUCGUGGGCGGACAAGUGCUGACAUUCAUUCAUUCGCCACCUGCUGAGCACCUGCUCUGGGGCUGGGGUUGGAGAUGAUACCAAGACUGAUUGCUGCUGGGAGCCUGUCCUCGAACUGCUCACAGUCUGGAGGGGCAGGCAGAGAUGUAAACAGGAAAGUAAAGAGCUAGGUGUUAGGGACUGUGAAGCGGUCUGGGGCUGUGGCAGCGCUGACCCAGAUACCUGAUACUCCCGAGCCCUUUCUCUGUCUCAGAUGCCAU